GGCUAGCCCAGUCGGUACAGCAUGAGACUCUUCAUCUCAAGGUCAUUGGUUCAAGCCCCAUGGUGGACA